rnacentral:rRNA from 1 species
UACAGAGGUCUCAAGCGUUGUUCGGAUUCAUUGGGCGUAAAGGGUGUGUAGGUGGCUCGCUAAGUCGGGUGUGAAAUUUCGGAGCUUAACUCCGAAACUGCAUUCGAUACUGCCGUGCUUGAGGACUGGAGAGGAGACUGGAAUUUACGGUGUAGCGGUGAAAUGCGCAGAUAUCAGGAGGAACACCGGUGGCGAAGGCGGCUUGCUGGGCCAGUUCUGACGCUGAGGAGCGAAAGCGUGGGGAGCGAACAGG